AGUGAACGCUGGCGGUAGGCCUAACACAUGCAAGUCGAACGGCAGCACAGUAAGAGCUUGCUCUUACGGGUGGCGAGUGGCGGACGGGUGAGGAAUACAUCGGAAUCUACUUUUUCGUGGGGGAUAACGUAGGGAAACUUACGCUAAUACCGCAUACGACCUACGGGUGAAAGCAGGGGAUCUUCGGACCUUGCGCGAUUGAAUGAGCCGAUGUCGGAUUAGCUAGUUGGCGGGGUAAAGGCCCACCAAGGCGACGCUCCGUAGCUGGUCUGAGAGGAUGAUCAGCCACACUGGAACUGAGACACGGUCCAGACGCCUACGGGAGGCAGCAGUGGGGAAUAUUGGACAAUGGGCGCAAGCCUGAUCCAGCCAUACCGCGUGGGUGAAGAAGGCCUUCGGGUUGUAAAGCCCUUUUGUUGGGAAAGAAAAGCAGCAGGUUAAUACCCCGCUGUUCUGACGGUACCCAAAGAAUAAGCACCGGCUAACUUCGUG
rnacentral:rRNA from 1 species